CCAUAUAUAAAGCACCUGUGGCAACAUGGCUGCCUUUUGGCCUUGUCUGCUUGGUGGUUGCCACAUGUUCCUUGCACUGAGGAGCCCACUGUCUGCUUGUCUGCCUCUCUGCCUCAGGUGAACUGGUGUCUGGUUUGCUAAGUAUCUGUUUGUCGUGGUAAGCGCACCUGUUGGCCGUGAUUCCUGUUUGCUGUGUGUUCACGAGUGAUCCUUCCAGUCUAAUUAAAUAAAUGUACAUUGUCUUUUGGAAUCACGUCUGUCUUAAUAAAGGUGUUAAACCUG